AUAUUGUUUAAUUAUUUCAAUGUGUUAAAUGAAAAGUAAUUUUCUUUUUUGUUUGUCUAUUGCAGGUACAGCUGUAGAGUACAUUUUGAACAGCCAUCUCCAGGAUAUACUCUGAAGACAGUGAUGUGCAAGUUCAAGGUUUGCUUGUUCAGAUACUUUAAUAAUAAAGAAUGGGUGAAAAAAUUUUCACAUUAUCAAGCUGCAUAAU